rnacentral:rRNA from 1 species
UGGGGAAUAUUGGACAAUGGGCGCAAGCCUGAUCCAGCCAUGCCGCGUGAGUGAUGAAGGUCCUAGGGUUGUAAAGCUCUUUCACCGGUGAAGAUAAUGACGGUAACCGGAGAAGAAGCCCCGGCUAACUUCGUGCCAGCAGCCGCGGUAAUACGAAGGGGGCUAGCGUUGUUCGGAUUUACUGGGCGUAAAGCGCACGUAGGCGGACUAUUAAGUCAGGGGUGAAAUCCCGGGGCUCAACCCCGGAACUGCCUUUGAUACUGGUAGUCUUGAGUUCGAGAGAGGUGAGUGGAAUUCCGAGUGUAGAAGUGAAAUUCGUAGAUAUUCGGAGGAACACCAGUGGCGAAGGCGGCUCACUGGCUCGAUACUGACGCUGAGGUGCGAAAGCGUGGGGAGCAAACAGG